rnacentral:tRNA from 1 species
GCGGGGUUAGUUGAGCGGCUCAACAUAACCUUCCCAAGGUUGAGAGGCGGGUUCGACUCCCGUACCCCGCUCAA